UCGUUGCUGUGGCUCUGGCGCAGGCCAGCGGCUAAAGCUCUGAUUAGACCUCUAGCCUGAGAACCUCCAUAUGCCAUGGGAGUGGCCCUAGAAAUGGCAAAAAGCCAAAAAGCAAAAAAAAAAAAAAAAAAAAAAAAAAAAAAAAUGACCAGUACCAAUUCAUAGAAGAGGCAGCUUCCCCAAAAUCAAUUUCCUUCAUUUUUCCUUGAAAUUCCUCUCAUCUGUUUCCCCUCAAGGAAAGACCUUCCCAUGGCUACAACUCUCAAGACUGUUGCUUUUGCGGCAAUGGAACUGAUGAAGACACUGAGGUUCAGAGAUGUUCAGCGAUUUCCCCCGAGUCACAGGGAGCAGGUUUCUCUUCUUCCAGACCUGCACCAUGACACCUGGCAGGUUCAUCAGCGCCUCCCUAUUGGUGCUGCUUAGCAGCAGAUGGUGAGCCUGGCUGCCAUCGCCAGGCUCUGAAUGCUGCCUGUCCACCAUGAGCUUGGAAGGGAGGCCCCCUGUCCAGGCUCCCCUGGGCAAGAAAGUGCUGAGGACAGCCAGUGGUGGUGUGGAAGCCAGAAACAGGACAUCAGCCAUGAAGGCGGAGGGGCUACCGGGCCACCUUGGAACAUGAACUACAGCCAAGCCACGAACUGGAGGAAGAGAGUUUGCAGCAUUCCCUCUCAGUUCGGCCUUCGGAAUGUCUUACUUAAGGCAGUUCCUCCCUGGGAGCAAACGACAGGAAACAUGAGACAAUGGAAUCUGGAGCUGGCAAGGCUGAGUGUGAUUAAUGCAGAAGAAAUGAAGUCAGUAUUGGAUGGCAACAACCCCAGACUCAGACACGGCAGAAAGUGAUCAAAGAGGAUGGGAUAAAGGUAGUCAUGGAUGCUCAGAAUAUUCACUCCACUAGACAGUGGGAAUCCUUCAGGGAUUUGAAGAGAGAGUUCAAUGAAGGCACAACUGUCUUUUAUUUUUAUUUUUUAAUUUUUUGGCCACCCCGAGACAUAUGGAGUUCCAGGGCCAGGGAUCAGAUCUGAGCCGCAGUUGUGACCUACGAUCCUUUAACCCAUUGUGCCAAGCUGAGGAUCGAACCUUUGUCCUGGCACUACAGAGGUGACACUGAUCCUGUUUCACCCCUGCAGGGUCUCCUGUCUUUUUAGUGUCAACUUUUAAUUUUAUACAAGGAAAUUUGUUGAACAGUCAUCAUAUUCACUGAUUCAAACAUUUAUUAAAUACCUACUGUGUGCCACACACAUUUAUACAAGUUGGGGAUAUAGCAGUGAGGAAAAGAGACAAAAAUCCUUGUCCUGUGAAGCUUCCUUUUGGGUGAGGGAGGGUAGGGGACAAACGCAAAACGGAAAAGAAAGGAAAUACGUAACAUUUGGGUACCAACUAACUUAUAGAGCAUCUUCAUGCAAAUAAGAGAAGGCCACUCCAAGAGUUCUCCAGUGGCCUAGUGGUUAAGGACUCAAUGUUGUCACUGCUGUGGUUUCGAUCCCUGGAACAGGAACUUCUACAUGCCUCGGGCGUGGCCACACAUCUUGGCAAGUAGAGCCUGGGUCUGCUCUUGCUCCUUUGGCCAGGUGUCCAGCCCACACAACUUUAAUGGUAGCCCUAGAAAGAGUGCCAACUGAAUGAUGGAGAAAAAUAAAACAGAUAAGGGAGGCAGGUGGUAGAGGGGAAGGAGUUUUGUGAUGAAAAACAUAAGAAAGACUCAAUGGGAGUUCCCGUUGUGGCUCAGCUGAUUAAGAGCCUGACUAGCAUCCACAAGGAUUCGGGUUCAAUCCCUGGCCUCUCUACUUGGGUUAAGGAUCCGGCAUUGCCUUGAGCUGCAGCCUAUGUUGCAGAUGCAGCUCAGAUCUGGUGAUGCUGUGGCUGUGGUAUAGACAAGCUGCAGCUGCAAGAUUCAACCCUCAGCCUGGGAACUUCCACAUGCUGUAGGUGUGGCU
rnacentral:lncRNA from 1 species